GGGGAAUAUUGGACAAUGGGCGAAAGCCUGAUCCAGCCAUGCCGCGUGAGUGAUGAAGGCCUUAGGGUUGUAAAGCUCUUUCAGUGGGGAAGAUAAUGACGGUACCCACAGAAGAAGCCCCGGCUAACUUCGUGCCAGCAGCAGCGGUAAUACGAAGGGGGCUAGCGUUGUUCGGAUUUACUGGGCGUAAAGCGCACGUAGGCGGAUCGUUAAGUCGGGGGUGAAAUCCUGGAGCUCAACUCCAGAACUGCCUUCGAUACUGGCGAACUUGAGUCUGAGAGAGGUGAGUGGAACUCCUAGUGUAGAGGUGGAAUUCGUAGAUAUUAGGAAGAACACCAGUGGCGAAGGCGGCUCACUGGCUCGGUACUGACGCUGAGGUGCGAAAGCGUGGGGAGCAAAC
rnacentral:rRNA from 1 species